GAUGAACGGCUAGCGGCAGGCCUAACACAUGCAAGGUCGAGGGGCAGCACAGGUAGCAAUACUGGGUGGCGACCGGCGGAUGGGUGCGUAACGCGUAUGCAACCUACCAUUGAUUGGGGCAUAGCCCGAAGAAAUUCGGAUUAAUACUCCAUAAUAUUCAUCAAAGGCAUCUUUUAUGAAUUAAAGCUUUUGCGAUCAAUGAUGGGCAUGCGCGACAUUAGUUAGUUGGUGAGGUAACGGCUCACCAAAACGAUGAUGUCUAGGGGUUCUGAGAGGAUUAUCCCCCACACUGGUACUGAGACACGGACCAGACUCCUACGGGAGGCAGCAGUGAGGAAUAUUGGUCAAUGGACGCAAGUCUGAACCAGCCAUGCCGCGUGCAGGAUGACGGCCCUACGGGUUGUAAACUGCUUUUCCCCGGGGCGAAUAACCCCCUCGCGAGGGGGGAUGCCGGUACCGGGGGAAUAAGGAUCGGCUAACUCCGUG
rnacentral:rRNA from 1 species